rnacentral:tRNA from 1 species
GCCGAAGUGGCGGAAUUGGCAGACGCGCUGGAUUCAAAAUCCAGUUGGAGCAAUCCAGUGAGGGUUCGAGUCCCUCCUUCGGUACUA